UUUAUGCAGUUUUGCAAGAACGCCUUAUUAAAGUCGCUCCUCCGUUUCUCUGGCCGCUCUCUGUCUGCUGCGCUGCGCUGCAUUCUCUCCCCCUCCCCUCUCAAACAUGACGCCGGCUUUGAGUGUUACCGGCUGAUGAUUGGCUGUUCUGCCUUAAGUCCCGCCUCUCUUGGUGGGUUAGAUUGAUCGGUCAGCUCGCGCUGAGGAGGCGGGAACUUUGUUUAUUUACAUCUCCCUUUUUCAGUAUCAAUAAGAUACAGAAAAGAAAGAGGCAGGAGAAGAUUGACACCUUUUUCAAGAGAAAUCCUGAGAUGAGGUUGCUGGAGGCAUCAGUUUAAAGAGAGAGAGG